GCCUAUAAUGCAAAAAAACUUGACACAUGCAAUCCAUGAUGGAGGGUAUAUAAGUUUUGCCCCAGCCAAACUAAAAAAGGUUUUACUUGUUUUGGGCUACAAUAAGUAUGCAAACAAAAAUUCAUCGGUUCAUACAUUACCGCUAAGGGAUACUAAAUGAGAAGAGUACGCUCCCCCUUCAGUUAUCAAAAAGACAACUUUGCAGUCAAUGACAAAAUAUUAUUCUUCAGAAGACAGAUGUAUACUUGCGAAUGAAGGCGAGAUAGUACAUGGAGUGUUUGAAAGAAACACUGUUAGAAAACAUCGGUGUAAUAUGAACGGAUGUGGCAGUCGAGGAAUGGAAAGCUUAAGAGAAGAAACUGCAAGAGUAGUAAGAAAUUAUGAAACUUUGCAUUCGAAACUAAGUCGUAUAGUUUUUUCUACUUUCGUUUAAAGAAAUGAAGUACUAGCAAAAGUCACAAAACUGAAAUAAUUCAAAAAGAACAAAAGGGUGGUGGGAAAUUUGCCGAGGUACUGGUAAAAUGUUAACGAGAGAUUCACAUUCAAGCUUAGCACAUGGCCUGGGGGGCUUCCCCUUAAUGACCUAAAUGUUAAUAAUGCUCUGGAUUUUUCUUCAUUCGGGCACAAAAGGGACUAAAAGGGAAAUAUAAUCAGGCUAAUCAGGUCUAGAAAUAGAAAAGGAAAUAUUCCCAUUUAAGCUUAUGUUUGAGCAAGACACAAGAUGAUUAAACCACAAUAUGCCAUACGAUAGACUCAGCGGAUGUCAAUACGAUGUUCAUUCCACCUAUCCUAACCCUAAUAUUGCAGAGCAAUAUAUUAUUAUUGGAAAAUAAUGUAUUGUUUUAAACAGCUAAGUGGGAUUUUUUGUUCAAUGACUGUUUUGGGUGCCUUUACUUUAAAGCCUAUUGAUGCUAUGGUAAUCUUUGAAUAUUUCAUAAACCUUUAAUAAACUUCUUAGUCGCAGGCAUAUCUUUAUAUAAAACAAUUAAUGCACAUCUCUAACUGGCUUCAUUAUUCAGAAGAUGUCUUCAUUUCCUCAAACUUUCAAUCUUCUCAAACUUUCGCUUUUUCCCUUUGAUUAUUGGCGUAAUUUUCCGGUAACGGAAACUUAUUUAAAGCGGAAACGAAUAACUUUUAAUUGUUAGUUACUGUGAUGUACAGAGUUUGUAAUUUCAAUAUUUACGUUGCAGAAAUACACUUUAUUAUUGAAAAUUUGAUGAGACACACCCCUAAAAACGGGAAAAAAGCAAAUUGCUUUAAUUUGAAAUGAUUGUUUCUUUUUUUUGGGUUGUUAAAUUAGUUUUCAUGGGAGUAUAUUGUGUCUCAAGUAUGCUUAAUCAUCUUUAUUUUAGAAGGGUAAGAAAAGAAAAGAAAUGGAAUGAAAGAACCUUCACUUUUUAUUAGGGGUCAUUGAGUGGUCUACAUUUUGUGGCUUCUUUUUCAGCUACAGUUCACGAGCUAACUUUUAAGUGAUCUAUGAAUUGUUAAUAUGAACAUCAAUAUUCAACAAAGUCAAUAAAAUAACUUUACAUCAGCAAUGAAA
rnacentral:sRNA from 1 species